rnacentral:rRNA from 1 species
GACGAACGCUGGCGGCGUGCUUAACACAUGCAAGUCGUACGGUAAGGCCCUUUCGGGGGUACACGAGUGGCGAACGGGUGAGUAACACGUGAGUAACCUGCCCACAACUUUGGGAUAACGCUAGGAAACUGGUGCUAAUACUGGAUAUGUGCUCCUGCUGCAUGGUGGGGGUUGGAAAGCUCCGGCGGUUGUGGAUGGACUCGCGGCCUAUCAGCUUGUUGGUGGGGUAGUGGCCUACCAAGGCGGCGACGGGUAGCCGGCCUGAGAGGGUGACCGGCCACAUUGGGACUGAGAUACGGCCCAGACUCCUACGGGAGGCAGCAGUGGGGAAUAUUGCACAAUGGGCGCAAGCCUGAUGCAGCAACGCCGCGUGCGGGAUGACGGCCUUCGGGUUGUAAACCGCUUCAGCAGGGACGAAGCUUUUUGCGACGGUACCUGCAGAAGAAGCACCGGCUAACUACGUG